GGGACUUACGCCGGUAUGGUCGUAUCAU
rnacentral:rRNA from 1 species